rnacentral:rRNA from 1 species
UACGAAGGGAGCUAGCGUUGUUCGGAAUCACUGGGCGUAAAGGGCGCGUAGGCGGCAUGCCAAGCGUGUGGUGAAAGCCCGGGGCUCAACCCCGGGAGGCGGGUGGAUACUGCUGGGCUCGAGUCCGGAAGAGGAGUGUGGAAUUCCUGGUGUAGCGGUGAAAUGCGCAGAUAUCAGGAGGAACACCAAUGGCGAAGGCAGCACUCUGGGACGGUACUGACGCUGAGACGCGAAAGCGUGGGGAGCAAACAGG